rnacentral:rRNA from 1 species
CCUACGGGAGGCAGCAGUAGGGAAUCUUCCACAAUGGGCGAAAGCCUGAUGGAGCAACGCCGCGUGGGUGAAGAAGGUCUUCGGAUCGUAAAACCCUGUUGUUAGAGAAGAAAGUGCGUGGGAGUAACUGUUAACGUUUCGACGGUAUCUAACCAGAAAGCCACGGCUAACUACGUGCCAGCAGCCGCGGUAAUACGUAGGUGGCAAGCGUUAUCCGGAUGUAUUGGGCGUAAAGGGAACGCAGGCGGUCUUUUAAGUCUGAUGUGAAAGCCUUGGGCUUAACCGGAGUAGUGCAUUGCAAACUGGGAGACUUGAGUGCAUAAGAGGCGGGUGGAACUCCAUGUGUAGCGGUGAAAUGCGUAGAUAUAUGGAAGAAGACCAGUGGCGAAAGCGGCUCUCUGGUCUGUAACUGACGCUGAGGUUCGAAAGCGUGGGGAGCAAACAGGAUUAGAUACCCUGGUAGUC